rnacentral:rRNA from 1 species
GGGUAAAUAGGUUGGUCGUGCCACAGGUACGUACUGGUCUCACUGAUUCCUCCUUCCUGAAGAACCGUAAUGCCAUUAAUUUGGUGUUGCGGGGAAACAGGACUGUUACUUUGAAAAAAUUAGAGUGUUUAAAGCAAGCUAACGCUUGAAUACAUUAGCAUGGAAUAAUGAAAUAGGACGAUCGAUCCUAUUUUGUUGGUUUCUAGGAUUGACGUA